rnacentral:sRNA from 1 species
ACCCUCCACCGCUCCCCAAACGGGUCCGGCGUCCUCAUCGCAUGGCCAGAAGGCGGGGAGCGAGAGGCGCCGGGACCCUAGCGUGGCGCUCCAGCACCCCGGACCGUCGCGGCGCCUCGCCUUAGGGAAGAGCAAGAAAAGAACUUUAUUUGAACCGCGAACAUUUUUUGGUCACUGAGAUUGAGUCUCCCAGUGCUUUGGCUUCCCGCCUCUUUAUCGUGGGUUUGAUCCCUGAGCUGCUCUCCUUUCCCGAACCUCCCGGGGUGCAGCCGAGAGCCCUCCCGCGCGCCUGACUCCAGAGCAGAGGAAGGGAGGCGGCCUCCGGCUGGUCCCCCCGAAGCCCUUGCUGCCCCGCAGAUGCGGAUGGCCAGGCAGUAGCGGGCGGUGGCCCCGCGUCCCGGGAGCGCACAGCAAUGCAGGCGCUCAACAUUACCCCGGAGCAGUUCUCCCGGCUGCUGCGGGACCACAACCUGACGCGGGAGCAGUUCAUCGCUCUGUACCGGCUGCGACCGCUGGUCUACACCCCAGAGCUGCCGGGGCGCGCCAAGCUGGCCCUCGUGCUCACCGGCGUGCUCAUCUUCGCCCUGGCGCUCUUUGGCAAUGCUCUGGUGUUCUACGUGGUGACCCGCAGCAAGGCCAUGCGCACCGUCACCAACAUCUUUAUCUGCUCCUUGGCGCUCAGUGACCUGCUCAUCACCUUCUUCUGCAUUCCCGUCACCAUGCUCCAGAACAUUUCCGACAACUGGCUGGGGGGUGCUUUCAUUUGCAAGAUGGUGCCAUUUGUCCAGUCUACCGCUGUUGUGACAGAAAUCCUCACUAUGACCUGCAUUGCUGUGGAAAGGCACCAGGGACUUGUGCAUCCUUUUAAAAUGAAGUGGCAAUACACCAACCGAAGGGCUUUCACAAUGCUAGGUGAGGCCACUGGAUGUGCCAAUGGCAGUGUGAAUGACAUUCUUCAUUACAGAAUAGAGAACCAUAUUUUUAAACUAGAAGCAUAGCUUCUUAUCUAACUUGUAGGCAUUGGAAUAUAAUUUGAGAGUUUCAGUGCUUUCCCUGUUUGCCUUCAUCUCCACACCAUCUCUCUUUUAGGCUGACCUCAGCACUGAAAAUGUAUCAUUUUGGGUAUACUUUUUCAGUUUACAUCUUAAAUAUUUAAGCACUACGUUCAGCUAAUCUAAGAUAACCUGUCAGUGGCAUUGCUACAUUAACAUUCAUUAGAUUGAGAACUGUC